AUAUAAUCUCAACCCUUCUCUUUUUUGAAAAGGUUUGGAUGUGGGGGUUUGCUGGCCUCUUCAAAAAGGUUCAGCUCUCCUGAAAUGCAUUAGCAGAACAACCUUGCUCAUUGGUGUGAUAAACUAUCUACGCUUAUGAAUGUGAGGGGGAACAGUUCAGCUUUCUAACAGUCUUUGGACAAUUCAUCAUUA
rnacentral:misc_RNA from 1 species